rnacentral:rRNA from 1 species
GAUAAACGCUGGCGGCGCACAUAAGACACUGCAAGUCGAACGGACUUAACCAUUAGUUUACUAUUGGAGCGGUUAGUGGCGGACUGGUGAGUAACACGUAAGCAACCUGCCUAUCAGAGGGGAACAACAGUUAGAAAUGACUGCUAAUACCGCAUAUGCCUUAAUUACCACAUGGUAGUAGAGGGAAAGGAGCAAUCCGCUGAUAGAUGGGCUUGCGUCUGAUUAGAUAGUUGGUAAGGUAACGGCUUACCAAGUCGACGAUCAGUAGCCGGACUGAGAGGUUGAACGGCCACAUUGGGACUGAGAUACGGCCCAGACUCCUACGGGAGGCAGCAGUCGGGAAUAUUGCGCAAUGGAGGAAACUCUGACGCAGUGACGCCGCGUGCAGGAAGAAGGUUUUCGGAUUGUAAACUGCUUUAGACAGGGAAGAAACAAGACAGUACCUGUAGAAUAAGCUCCGGCUAACUACGUGCCAGCAGCCGCGGUAAUACGUAGGGAGCAAGCGUUAUCCGGAUUUAUUGGGUGUAAAGGGUGCGUAGACGGGAAUGCAAGUUGGUUGUGAAAUCCCUCGGCUCAACCGAGGAAUUGCAACCAAAACUAUAUUUCUUGAGUGCUGGAGAGGAAAGUGGAAUUCCUAGUGUAGCGGUGAAAUGCGUAGAUAUUAGGAGGAACAC